GUCCACGCUGUAAACGAUGACGACUAGGUGUGGGGGGUUCAGUCCCCUCCGUGCCGCAGCUAACGCAUUAAGUCGUCCGCCUGGGGAGUACGGCCGCAAGGUUGAAACUCAAAGGAAUUGACGGGGGCCCGCACAAGCGGUGGAGCAUGUGGUUCAAUUCGAUGCAGAGCGAAGAACCUUACCUGGGCUUGACAUGUAGGAAGUAGAAACCGGAAACGGCGACGACCUGUUAAGUCAGGAGCCUACACAGGUGGUGCAUGGCUGUCGU
rnacentral:rRNA from 1 species